rnacentral:rRNA from 1 species
ACUCCUACGGGAGGCAGCAGUGGGGAAUAUUGGACAAUGGGCGCAAGCCUGAUCCAGCCAUGCCGCGUGAGUGAUGAAGGCCCUAGGGUUGUAAAGCUCUUUCACCGGAGAAGAUAAUGACGGUAUCCGGAGAAGAAGCCCCGGCUAACUUCGUGCCAGCAGCCGCGGUAAUACGAAGGGGGCUAGCGUUGUUCGGAAUUACUGGGCGUAAAGCGCACGUAGGCGGAUCGAUCAGUCAGGGGUGAAAUCCCAGGGCUCAACCCUGGAACUGCCUUUGAUACUGUCGAUCUGGAGUAUGGAAGAGGUGAGUGGAAUUCCGAGUGUAGAGGUGAAAUUCGUAGAUAUUCGGAGGAACACCAGUGGCGAAGGCGGCUCACUGGUCCAUUACUGACGCUGAGGUGCGAAAGCGUGGGGAGCAAACAGGAUUAGAAACCCCAUAGUCCCAUGA